rnacentral:piRNA from 2 species
UACUAAAGAGAGCAUUAAUGCAAACGUGA